ACGAACGCUGGCGGCGUGCUUAACACAUGCAAGUCGAACGGAAAGGCCCUGCUUGCAGGGUGCUCGAGUGGCGAACGGGUGCGUAACACGUGGGUGAUCUGCCCCUUACUUUGGGAUAAGCCUGGGAAACUGGGUCUAAUACUGGAUAGGACCAUGCUGUAGGUGGUGUGGUGGAAAGAUUAGUUUCGGUAAGGGAUGAGCUCGCGGCCUAUCAGCUUGUUGGUGGGGUAAUGGCCUACCAAGGCGUCGACGGGUAGCCGGCCUGAGAGGGUGGACGGCCACAUUGGGACUGAGAUACGGCGCAGACUCCUACGGGAGGCAGCAGUGGGGAAUAUUGCACAAUGGGCGCAAGCCUGAUGCAGCGACGCCGCGUGGGGGAUGACGGCCUCCGGGUUGUAAACACCUUUCAGCCAUGACGAAGCCCUUGUGGUGACGGUAGUGGUAGAAGAAGCACCGGCUAACUACGUG
rnacentral:rRNA from 1 species